GACGAACGCUGGCGGCGUGCUUAACACAUGCAAGUCGAACGGAAAGGCCCUGCUUUUGUGGGGUGCUCGAGUGGCGAACGGGUGAGUAACACGUGAGUAACCUGCCCUUGACUUUGGGAUAACUUCAGGAAACUGGGGCUAAUACCGGAUAGGAGCUCCUGCUGCAUGGUGGGAGUUGGAAAGUUUCGGCGGUUGGGGAUGGACUCGCGGCUUAUCAGCUUGUUGGUGGGGUAGUGGCUUACCAAGGCUUUGACGGGUAGCCGGCCUGAGAGGGUGACCGGCCACAUUGGGACUGAGAUACGGCCCAGACUCCUACGGGAGGCAGCAGUGGGAAUAUUGCACAAUGGGCGGAAGCCUGAUGCAGCAACGCCGCGUGCGGGAUGACGGCCUUCGGGUUGUAAACCGCUUUCGCCUGUGACGAAGCGUGAGUGACGGUAAUGGGUAAAGAAGCACCGGCUAACUACGUG
rnacentral:rRNA from 1 species